UAGGGUUACCCGCUGAACUUAAGCAUAUCA
rnacentral:rRNA from 2 species